CAGUUCGAAUACUGACCCUGAUAAAUAUUAAAGGGCUGCAGUAUUUUGACUGUACAAAGGUAGCAUAAUCAAUAGUCUUUUAAUUGAAGACUAGAAUGAAAGAUUGAAUGAAAUAUAAACUGUCUUUUUAAUAAAAUUAAAAAUUAAUUUUUUGGUUAAAAAGCUAAAAUAAAUUUAAAAGACGAGAAGACCCUAUAGAGUUUAAUAAUUAAAUAAAUUUUUUAAUUAUAUAAAAAUAUUUAUAAAAAAUAAAUUUAAUUAUUUUAUUGGGGUGAUAAAAAAAUUAAAUGAACUUUUUUUAAAAUUUUACAAAGAUAAUUGAAUAAGUGAUCCAUUAAUUAUGAUUAAAAGAAUAAAUUACCUUAGGGAUAACAGCGUAAUAUUUUUUUUUAGUACAAAUAAAAAAAAAAGUUUGCGACCUCGAUGUUGGAUUAAAAUAAAAAUUAAAUGCAAAAGUUUAAAAUUUUGAUCUGUUCGAUCAUUAAAAUCUUACAUGAUCUGAGUUCAAACCGGGGGGG
rnacentral:rRNA from 1 species